ACGAACGCUGGCGGCGUGCUUAACACAUGCAAGUCGAGCGGUAAGGCCUUUCGGGGUCCACGAGCGGCGAACGGGUGAGUAACACGUGGGUGAUCUGCCCUGCGCUUCGGGAUAAGCCUGGGAAACUGGGUCUAAUACCGGAUAUGACCUCCUAUCGCAUGGUGGGUGGUGGAAAGAUUUAUCGGUGCAGGAUGGGCCCGCGGCCUAUCAGCUUGUUGGUGGGGUAAUGGCCUACCAAGGCGACGACGGGUAGCCGACCUGAGAGGGUGACCGGCCACACUGGGACUGAGACACGGCCCAGACUCCUACGGGAGGCAGCAGUGGGGAAUAUUGCACAAUGGGCGAAAGCCUGAUGCAGCGACGCCGCGUGAGGGAUGACGGCCUUCGGGUUGUAAACCUCUUUCAGCAGGGACGAAGCGCAAGUGACGGUACCUGCAGAAGAAGCACCGGCUAACUACGUG
rnacentral:rRNA from 1 species